AUUGAACGCUGGCGGCAGGCCUAACACAUGCAAGUCGAGAGGAGCGGCGGACGGGUGAGUAAUGCCUAGGAAUCUGCCUGGUAGAAGGGGAUAACGUCCGGAAACGGGCGCUAAUACCGCAUGAUAUCAGAUGAGCCUAGGUCGGAUUAGCUAGGUGGUGGGGUAAAGGUCUACCAAGGCGACGAUCCGUAACUGGUCUGAGAGGAUGAUCCGUCACACGUGAACUGAGACCCGGUCCAGACUCCUACGCGAGGCAGCAGUUGGAAAUAUUGGACAAUGUGCUAAAGCCUGAUCCAGCCAUGCCGCGUGUGUGAAGAAGGUCUUCGGAUUGUAAAGCACUGUAAGUUGGUAGGCGUUACCAACAGAAUAAUCACCGGCUAACUUCGUGCCAGCAGCCGCGGUAAUAC
rnacentral:rRNA from 1 species